rnacentral:rRNA from 1 species
AAAAAUCCGGGUGGCAAUGGGAAUCCGUGAUGCGGAGCGAAAUAAAGUAGCGAAGUCCGUGAGCCAUGCGUCAAGAAAAGCCGCUAUUGUUUAUACCGUACCCGUACCGUAAACCGACACAGGUGGAUGAGGAGAGAAUCCUAAGGCCGGCGGAAGAAGCAUUGUCAAGGAACUCGGCAAAAUGGCCCCGUAACUUAGGGAUAAGGGGUGCCUCAGAAAUGAGGCCGCAGAGAAUAGGCUCAAGCAACUGUUUAGCAAAAACACAGGUCUAUGCGAAACCGAAAGGUGAGGUAUAUGGGCUGACGCCUGCCCGGUGCUGGAAGGUUAAGAGGAGAGGUUAGCGGUAACGCGAAGCUUUGAAUUUAAGCCCCAGUAAACGGCGGCCGUAACUAUAACGGUCCUAAGGUAGCGAAAUUCCUUGUCGGGUAAGUUCCGACCCGCACGAAAGGCGUAAUGAUUUGAGCGCUGUCUCGACAAUGCAUCCGGUGAAAUUGAAGUACCAGUGAAGAUGCUGGUUACCUGCGCCAGGACGGAAAGACCCCAUGGAGCUUUACUCCAGUCUGGUACUGGGACUCGGUAUUGCAUGUACAGGAUAGGUGGGAGGCUAGGAGAUGGUAACGCCAGUUGCCAUGGAGCCGCUGUUGGGAUACCACCCUUGCAGUAUUGGGUUUCUAACCAGCCGCCGUGACCCGGCGGUGGGACAAUGCCAGACGGGGAGUUUGACUGGGGCGGUCGCCUCCGAAAGGGUAUCGGAGGCGCCCAAAGGUUCCCUCAGAAUGGACGGAAACCAUUCGAAGAGUGCAAAGGCAGAAGGGAGCUUGACUGCGACACCGACGGGUGGAGCAGGUACGAAAGUAGGGCUUAGUGAUCCGGUGGUAUUAAGUGGGAAUGCCAUCGCUCAACGGAUAAAAGCUACCCUGGGAUAACAGGCUUAUCACUCCCAAGAGUUCACAUCGACGGAGUGGUUUGGCACCUCGAUGUCGGCUCAUCGCAUCCUGGGGCUGUAGUAGGUCCCAAGGGUUGGGCUGUUCGCCCAUUAAAGCGGUACGCGAGCUGGGUUCAGAACGUCGUGAGACAGUUCGGUCCCUAUCCGGCGUGGGCGUAGGAUAUCUGAGAGGAGCUGUCCUUAGUACGAGAGGACCGGGAUGGACGGGCCGCUGGUGCAUCGGUUAGACUGCCAAGUCUACGGCCGAGUAGCCAAGCCCGGAAGGGAUAAACGCUGAAGGCAUCUAAGCGUGAAGCCCCCCUUAAGAUGAGAUAUCCCAUUCGAAAGAAGUAAACCCCCUUGAAGACGACGAGGUAGAUAGGGCAGAGGUGGAAGUGCAGCAAUGCAUGGAGCUGACUGUUACUAAUCGGGUGAGGGCUUGACC